GCGGCGGCCGAUGCGAGUGUGUAUGUGCGGGCGAGAAGAUGGCGGCGGCGGGGGAAGCAGCGUGAGCAGCCGGAGGAUCGCAGAGUCCCAAUGAAACGGGCAGCCAUGGCCCUCCACAGCCCGCAGUAUGUUUGGCAGAGAAAGCGGAAAUGGAGGUAGUGGCAUGAGUCAGCAGAAAGUAUAUUUUUGGAGAUUUUAGCCCUGAUGAAUUCAAUCAAUUCUUUGUGACUCCUCGAUCUUCAGUUGAGCUUCCUCCAUACAGUGGAACAGUUCUGUGUGGCACACAGGCUGUGGAUAAACUACCCGAUGGACAAGAAUAUCAGAGAAUUGAGUUUGGUGUCGGUGAAGUCAUUGAACCCAGUGACACUUCGCCGAGAACCCCCAGCUACAGUAUUUCAAGCACACUGAACCCUCAGGCCCCUGAAUUUAUUCUCGGUUGUACAGCUUCCAAAAUAACCCCUGAUGGUAUCACUAAAGAAGCAAGCUAUGGCUCCAUCGACUGCCAGUACCCAGGCUCUGCCCUCGCUUUGGAUGGAAGUUCUAAUGUGGAGGCGGAAGUUUUGGAAAGUGAUGGUGUCUCAGGUGGUCUUGGACAAAGGGAGCGUAAAAAGAAGAAAAAGCGGCCACCUGGAUAUUACAGCUAUUUGAAAGAUGGUGGCGAUGAUAGUAUCUCCACAGAAGCCCUGGUCAAUGGCCAUGCCAAUUCAGCAGUCCCGAACAGUGUCAGUGCAGAGGAUGCAGAAUUUAUGGGUGACAUGCCCCCGUCAGUUACGCCCAGGACUUGUAACAGCCCCCAGAACUCCACGGACUCUGUCAGUGACAUUGUGCCUGACAGUCCUUUCCCCGGAGCACUCGGCAGUGACACCAGGACUGCAGGGCAGCCGGAGG
rnacentral:sRNA from 1 species